rnacentral:tRNA from 3 species
GGAAGGUGCCGCCGAGUGGACGGCAAGCGGUCUUGAACACCGUGGUACGGCUAAUAACCGUAGGAGUUCGAUUCUUCCACCUUCCUCCA